GUGUCAGCAGCCGCGGUAAUACGGGGGGGGCAAGCGUUGUUCGGAAUUACUGGGCGUAAAGGGUUCGUAGGUGGCCUGCUAAGUCAGACGUGAAAUCCCUCAGCUCAACUGGGGAACUGCGUCUGAGACUGGUGGGCUUGAGUGCAGGAGAGGAACGCGGAAUUCCAGGUGUAGCGGUGAAAUGCGUAGAUAUCUGGAGGAACACCGGUGGCGAAGGCGGCGUUCUGGACUGUUACUGACACUGAGGAACGAAAGCCAGGGGAGCAAACGGGAUUAGAUACCCUUGUAGUCC
rnacentral:rRNA from 1 species